CCUACGGGAGGCAGCAGUGGGGAAUCUUGCGCAAUGGGCGAAAGCCUGACGCAGCAACGCCGCGUGCGGGAAGAAGGCUUUCGGGCUGUAAACCGCUUUCAGCAGGAACGAAAAUGACGGUACCUGCAGAAGAAGGAGCGGCCAACUAUGUGCCAGCAGCCGCGGUGAUACAUAGGCUCCAAGCGUUGUCCGGAUUUAUUGGGCGUAAAGAGUUCGUAGGCGGUCGAGUAAGUCGGGUGUGAAAAUUCUGGGCUCAACCCAGAGACGCCACCCGAUACUGCUUGACUUGAGUUCGAUAGGGGAGUGGGGAAUUCCUAGUGUAGCGGUGAAAUGCGCAGAUAUUAGGAGGAACACCGGUGGCGAAGGCGCCACUCUGGAUCGAUACUGACGCUGAGGAACGAAAGCAUGGGUAGCAAACAGGAUUAGAUACCCUGGUAGUCCAUGCCGUAAACGGUGGGCACUAGGUGUGGGUUUCUAUUAACGAAAUCCGCGCCGUCGCUAACGCAUUAAGUGCCCCGCCUGGGGGAGGUACGGUCGCGAGACGUAAACUACAANAGUAAGUUAGUACGGCGUUGUAGACGUUGCCGAACGGACGACGACGAGGGAGGAGG
rnacentral:rRNA from 1 species